UACGUAGGUGGCAAGCGUUGUCCGGAUUUACUGGGCGGUAAAGAGCGCGCAGGCGGUCGUUCAAGUCGCGUGUGAAAGCCCCCGGCUCAACUGGGGAGGGUCACGCGAUACUGUUCGACUCGAAGGCAGGAGAGGGAAGUGGAAUUCCCGGUGUAGUGGUGAAAUGCGUAGAUAGUCGGGAGAACACCAGUGGCGAAGGCGACUUCCUGGCCUGUUCUUGACGCUGAGGCGCGAAAGCGUGGGUAGCAAACGAGG
rnacentral:rRNA from 1 species